CUUUCUGUCCCUUCCUGCUCUUUGCUGCCCUUUACAGCUCCUUGCUGACCCUUUCUGCUUUCUAUUUUACCCUUGUGCUGCUUUACCUUCCAGCUCCUUGCUGACCCUUUGUUUCCGUGCUCCUUGCUGACCCUUUGUUUCCGUGCUCAUUUCUGUUCCUUUUGGGCUCCUUCUCCUACCCCUUUCUGCUAAUUUCUGUUCUUUCUAUUACUUUACCUUCCUGUUCCUUGCUGACCCUUCCUGUCUCCCCCAUCCCUCACCUGAUCUAUAGGCUGUCUCCCC